CUCUUGCUGAUAACGAGAAUGGAAAGGAGGCAGGGAAUGCCGGCCUUCCUGAAUCACAGACCUGGACUCAGGUGGUAACGUAACACUUGCCUGUCUUCAUCCCAAGACUGAUUUCUAGUACUACCUAUUCUACCUAGUCUUUAUAACCAGAUAACCUUAUCUUCAGGAGGUUGCCUGGAAAAGAGGUGGUUUUCAGUCUUCGUGAGGAGGAAGAAGAGGAAGAAGAAGAAGAUGACGACGAAGAAGAAGCUGUUCAAGAGACAUGG